AAUAUUGGACAAGUGGCGCAAGCCUGAUCCAGCCAUGCCGCGUGAGUGAUGAAGGCCGUUAGGGUUGUAAAGCUCUUUUGUCCGGGACGAUAAUGACGGUACCGGAAGAAUAAGCCCCGGCUAACUUCGUGCCAGCAGCCGCGGUAAUACGAAGGGGCUAGCGUUGCUCGGAAUCACUGGGCGUAAAGGGCGCGUAGGCGGCCUUGUAAGUUGGGGGUGAAAGCCCCGUGGCUCAACCACGGAAUUGCCUUCGAUACUGCUUGGCUUGAGUGUGGUAGAGGUUGGUGGAACUGCGAGUGUAGAGGUGAAAUUCGUAGAUAUUCGCAAGAACACCGGUGGCGAAGGCGGCCAACUGGACCAUCACUGACGCUGAGGCGCGAAAGCGUGGGGAGCAAACAGGAUUAGAUACCCUGGUAG
rnacentral:rRNA from 1 species